GCAGUCACAAACACCCCCCAACCCCACCCUAACCGGGAGUCUGUCUCCAGAGUAACUGUGGGGGACUACUCCCAUGUUAGCCAAUAGACCUUUAACAUCCAGAUGUUGAGGACAACUACAGAUGUAGAAUCAAGUUAAUUUGUCACAACUCACACAUGGGUAUGAGAACAGACACCCAGAGCUGAUUUCAUCGGUAGUCAAUCAACAACUGGCCACAAUAAUCCGUGAAAUUGGCAUCUGUUCAUGCAAAUGCAUCAUAAUGUCAUGAAAUCCAUUUCAGUGAUUUAAAUCUUGUAUAGAAAUUAAACAAAACAUUGUCCUUUAGGAAUACAUUUUUGCAAACCCCUCAUACACCCUCAAGAUGCACUUUCCUCCUGUGGUAUUAUUAACUACUUAUGCAGGUUUGGCUAUAGAUAAAAGUUGAAGAAACUAAUAUGAUAUGCAAAAAACAUGUCUUUGGAUCUGUCCACCAACUUUUUUGGUAAAAUUUCAAGUUUAUCCCAAGGGUGGGAGAGUUUGGGUGUGGGCUCACACACUUGCGUGAGAGCGAGACCUGAUGCUAAGUAACUGUUCAGGGUCUGAUAUAGGGAACGAUUCUGAUUGGUCAGCAGACUGAAGGGCAAAGACAUGAUAAGGAUGGAACAGCCUUUGUGUCAUCAUAUGCAAAUGAGCAGUGAGCAUUAAAACUCACGAGCAAGGGAGCAACGUUUACGAUCGCUUAACGGCAUGGAGACGACAGACUUGUGAAAAAAGUGAGAAGACGGGUAAAGGUGACAGAUGAAGCCAAUUAAACUGUUUUUCAACACUUCCUGCAGGAGUACUGAGGCCACAGAUCUGAAGACAGGAUAUCAUCGUAUACUGUAAGUUCAUUAUUGAGACACUACAGUAUAGAUGAUGUACUAUCCAGGGGGUCAACACACCUCCAACUGUCUCCUGUGGACCCGCAAACAUUGUGACAGAGAGUGGCGGUGAAACCGUUACCAUUACUGAGUUUAGUAAUGGUAAGGGUUCUGUUGCCUUCUCUCAAAAAUCAUCUGGAUAUGAUGGAACUUCAGAGCAACGGAGGGCGCAGUCAAAAUCAGAUGAGUGAACGGAUGGACACAAACACCAGAAAGACCAAUGUUAAGCAGAUGUGAAAUUCUGAAUCAUUUGUAUUUUAUACAACCUAUAAUGUGUUAUAUAAUACUGCCAUUGUGUGUACUUUAAAUAAAUAUCAUUGAACUGAAAUUAA